CCCGUUUGAGGUUCUCUUGCAAAAAUUCUCCUCCCGCUAUUAGAAAAACUUUCUCUAUCAUUUUUAUAUUUUAUGUUCGCAUUAAUUUUUGAACACCGGAUCUGCAAAGUCGGUAGCAUAAAUAAUACUUCCACAAAAAUUAAGUGCGAAUAAUAUUUUUCGAAGUUAAAGUGACAAAUUACAGGUGUGACUGGAGCAUUCCUAAACCAAAGUUCAUAGCAAUAGCAGUAACUGGCAAGUGUUUGCGAAACGUCGUCAAGUUUACUAACAUACUUCUGUGCAUGCAUAGUGCUUGAAUCACAGCAAUAAACAUUUGAUGUGCCCAAUGUGAUAAUCAAACUGACCGCCAAAUUGUCUACUGCCAAAAAAAAGAGAAACAGCAGAAAAUAGCACUUUGCUGUGUACUCAUCCAUCUACUUUAUGUGUAGCUUGGUAAGUAGUGCGUUAGCGUAGCGCACGGCAAGCAGUUAUGUGCGUGGACAAACUGGCGGCGCAGGCAUCGAGCAGCCAGCAGCAGGCAACCAGCGUGAUGAAUGUGGACCACAAGCGUCCUGAAAACCGUGGGUCCAGCACUGGCAAAGAGCGGAAAUCAAUGGCUGUUAGAUGUGUGCGCGCAGUGGCGAAUGGAUACAUAAAUGCCGUUUAUGGAUUUCUUAAUUCGCGACUGCUCAUGUAACUACCGGCAGGAAAUACUUGUGUGUGAUUAUGCUUAUAAAAUAUUUUGUUUAUUCUCUAUUUUGAUUUAUUUAUAUUUAGCUUAACUUUCCUUGUAAAUUAAAAUUAUGGCAAACUUAUAAGAACACAUUUAUUUAUAUGACAUUCUCAUAUUACCGCUUCCUAUGUUCUGCCCUUUUUUUCUAAUUUUGUUUACUUUGCUAUUACAACACUAAACCCAACAAAAUAGAAAAUUUUAAGUAUUUAUUGCGUUGAAAAUAAAUAAUUUUCAAUACUAUUACCAAAACGAAAUAGAAAAGACUAGAACGAAAUAUUAUUUUAAGAAAUAUAAUAAUAAAUUGAUUCGGCUAUGAAAAUA